GACGAACGCUGGCGGCGUGCCUAAUACAUGCAAGUUGAGCGCUGAAGGUUGGUACUUGUACCAACUGGAUGAGCAGCAAACGGGUGAGUAACGCGUGGGGAAUCUGCCUUUGAGCGGGGGACAACAUUUGGAAACGAAUGCUAAUACCGCAUAAAAACUUUAAACACAAGUUUUAAGUUUGAAAGAUGCAAUUGCAUCACUCAAAGAUGAUCCCGCGUUGUAUUAGCUAGUUGGUGAGGUAAAGGCUCACCAAGGCGAUGAUACAUAGCCGACCUGAGAGGGUGAUCGGCCACAUUGGGACUGAGACACGCCCCAAACUCCUUCGGGAGGCAGCAGUAGGGAAUCUUCGGCCAUGGACGAAAGUCUGACCGAGCAACGCCGCGUGAGUGAAGAAGGUUUUCGGAUCGUAAAACUCUGUUGGUAGAGAAGAACGUUGGUGAGAGUGGAAAGCUCAUCAAGUGACGGUAACUACCCAGAAAGGGACGGCUAACUACGUG
rnacentral:rRNA from 1 species